rnacentral:rRNA from 1 species
CUUCUCUGAUGUUAGCGGCGGACGGGUGAGUAACACGUGGAUAACCUACCUAUAAGACUGGGAUAACUUCGGGAAACCGGAGCUAAUACCGGAUAAUAUUUUGAACCGCAUGGUUCAAAAGUAAAAGACGGUCUUGCUGCCACUUAUAGAUGGAUCCGCGCUGCAUUAGCUAGUUGGUAAGGUAACGGCUUACCAAGGCAACGAUGCAUAGCCGACCUGAGAGGGUGAUCGGCCACACUGGAACUGAGACACGGUCCAGACUCCUACGGGAGGCAGCAGUAGGGAAUCUUCCGCAAUGGGCGAAAGCCUGACGGAGCAACGCCGCGUGAGUGAUGAAGGUCUUCGGAUCGUAAAACUCUGUUAUUAGGGAAGAACAUAUGUGUAAGUAACUGUGCACAUCUUGACGGUACCUAAUCAGAAAGCCACGGCUAACUACGUGCCAGCAGCCGCGGUAAUACGUAGGUGGCAAGCGUUAUCCGGAAUUAUUGGGCGUAAAGCGCGCGUAGGCGGUUUUUUAAGUCUGAUGUGAAAGCCCACGGCUCAACCGUGGAGGGUCAUUGGAAACUGGAAAACUUGAGUGCAGAAGAGGAAAGUGGAAUUCCAUGUGUAGCGGUGAAAUGCGCAGAGAUAUGGAGGAACACCGGUGGCGAAGGCGACUUUCUGGUCUGUAACUGACGCUGAUGUGCGAAAGCGUGGGGAUCAAACAGGAUUAGAUACCCUGGUAGUCCACGCCGUAAACGAUGAGUGCUAAGUGUUAGGGGGUUUCCGCCCCUUAGUGCUGCAGCUAACGCAUUAAGCACUCCGCCUGGGGAGUACGACCGCCAAGGUUG